GCUGGUGCUGGGAGUAGGGCGCAAGAUGUCGGCGGAUGCAGCUCCGAGGAGGUAGGCAGUGGGAGCCGGCGUUCAGUCCGGCCCGUGCCAACAGUGGUUCCUCUCUCCCCCGUAGUUCGAGGAGACCACGCGCUGCCCCUCUGGCACGAUCGUGGAUGAACCCCCUGGCAACUGAAAUGGGAAAGGCAGCGCCCCCGACUCUGGGGACUGGACCGAAGUCCACGGUAGUGACAGCUGCCAGACCCUGAGGAGAGGACGAGAAGACCCGAGGCCUCUGCUACGAACACUGGCAGCCGAUGGAAAAUUCAGACGGAUUUGGGACAGUAUGCAGAGUUCUCCAAGCGACAGAUUAACAGAGGCUCUUGAAGAAUAACUGCGUAAUCACGUGUUCUGCUCAAAAGAAGGCCUGAAUGCCCAGUGCCUUAUUUGGCUUUCAGGGUUGGUGAAAGAAAAAGCAAAGUAGAUGCUUUCUAAUGCUAAGUCAUUUAAUGUAGCACCAUUCCUUGAACUUCUUUCAUCUCUAAGGUCGUCCCUUUCACCUGAUGAUGACCUUUGGGCCAUCGUACAGGCAUGGUCUUGCGGUGUCACCCAGGCUAGAGUACAGUGGUGCAAUCAUAGCUCACUGCUGCCUCAAACUCCUAGACUCAAGCAAUCCUCCUGCUUCAGCCUCCCGAGUAGCUGGGACUACAGGUAGAUGAUGGGCUCCACGGGAACAGAGCAAACGUUCGCUCCUGCUCCUACACGGUGUUUCCUCUAAACCUGAGGCUCAGCCGACUUGUCAUCACUUAAAACCCAAUUCAGAGCGGGGGGGCACUGCCAGUGAAUAGUUCAUCACCGACUCAGUUUCCCCAUGUGUAUGCUGUGGUAUUGGAUCAGCAACGAGAUAAGAAGAUCUCUCCCAUUUCCAAGCGUCUAUGAUGAUUCUGAGGCACAAGGUCACAUUUGACAGUACUAGGAAACCCAGGAAACAAGAAGCAAAGAUGACAAAGGCUGUGUCUGCCUGGGCAGACGAUCUAUUUGGACAAGAUAAUAGACCCAGGCAUGGACAUGCUCUCCAAGAAAGAUGCCCUGACAGCUGCUCACACUGAAGCUGAAUCGAACAUUCCAAUCCUUAGAGGUUCCAGCGAAGAUCUUGAAGUCUCCCUGAGCCAUUGACACAAUGGCCAUGCCAUCCCAGUGAUAAAACACAAAUUGUGGCCUUGUUUUGGACAGAAAUAAAGAGCCCAGUUUGUUAGUGAUUUACUGAUAAUAACUGAAUCGAGUACUAAUACUUGGCGAUUUUAAAAGCCAUCAUGUUAAAAAGACCACCUGAUUCCCAGUGACCCUGCAGUGACUGGGUUUGGGCAGCUCGUCCCCUGCACCUGUUUGGGGCUGUGCCAGCCACUUCCAGUGAGAACAUCGCAUUAACUUGCGGUCGCAGACCUGGCUGGACCCCUUGAACCAAAUUCCUUUCUGACCUUAUCAGACCCCAAAUAAAAGAGCUCACCAG
rnacentral:lncRNA from 1 species